UCACUAAAGUCUCUUUCAUUUUUUUUUCUCUUGCUCUAUCAAACACGCAUAGAAGUCUACAAAAUCUUGAAGCUUGAAUGCAUUAUUGACAGCAAAAUCUCCUAAAUCAUUAAGCUUGAAGGCAUUAUUGGGAGCAAAACGAUUCAUCCACCACUUGUAUCUACAUCUAAGGUUUGAUAUGAACCCAUCAAAGGAUGAAAAUGAGGUGGCAUCUAGGGUGAAAGCUACUACCAAAUAUGCAUAUGUGGCACCGGGUGCUGUAGGGAAGGGACGAGGAAGAGGGCUUAAAUCUAUGUUGUCUUUAGGGGUGUCAAGAACUGAUAUUCCAUUUUCUCCAUCUACUAAUCAUGUUAUGCAGUACAAUCAAUUUACUGAAACGAGUGUGGUUGCAAAGGGACGAGGAAAAGGUCUUAGAUCUAUGUCUAAUGCUCGAGGAGAGCGAACAAUGAACAAAAACUACUUGAGUGUUGAUAAAGGACAUAUUCCAUCUUUUUCAUCUACUGAAGAACUUAUGCAAUACAUCAAAACAAAUUCAUCAAGUAUGAUUCUACAAUUUAU